rnacentral:rRNA from 1 species
AUACGGAGGAUGCGAGCGUUAUCCGGAUUUAUUGGGUUUAAAGGGUGCGUAGGCGGACGAUUAAGUCAGCUGUGAAAUGCCCGCGCUUAACGCGGGAAGUGCAGUUGAUACUGGUUGUCUGGAGUGCCGUUGCCGUGGGGGGAAUGUGUAGUGUAGCGGUGAAAUGCAUAGAUAUUACACAGAACGCCGAUUGUGAAGACACCUCACGAAGCGGUAACUGACGCUGAGGCACGAAAGCGUGGGGAUCGAACAGGAUUAGAUACCCUGGUAGUCCACGCAGUAAACGAUGAUAACUAACCGUCGGCGAUACACAGUCGGUGGCCAAGCGAAAGCGAUAAGUUAUCCACCUGGGGAGUACGUUCGCAAGAAUGAAACUCAAAUGAAUUGACGGGG